rnacentral:rRNA from 1 species
AGCAGCCGCGGUAAUUCCAGCUCCAAUAGCGUAUAUUAAAGUUGUUGCAGUUAAAAAGCUCGUAGUUGAACUUCGGGAUUUGCCCAUUGGUCAGGCUUAACUGUCUGCACUGGUGUGACGAGUUCCUACCUUCUGAGGAAUCUCCAUGUCAUUCAGUUGGUGUGGGGGGAAAUCAGGACUGUUACUUUGAAAAAUUAGAGUGUUUAAAGCAGGCAUCCGUCUGAAUACAUUAGCAUGGAAUAAUAAAAUAGGACGGUUUGGUUCUAUUUUGUUGGUUUCUAGGAUCACCGUAAUGAUUAAUAGGGAUAGUUGGGGGCAUUAGUAUUCAAUUGUCAGAGGUGAAAUUCUUGGAUUUAUUGAAGACUAACUACUGCGAAAGCAUUUGCCAAGGAUGUUUUCAUUAAUCAAGAACGAAAGUUAGGGGAUCGAAGACGAUCAGAUACCGUCGUAGUCUUAACCAUAAACUAUGUC